GGGCCGUGGUCGAGCAUGGUCUAAGAUGCCUGACUCGGGCCCAGGAGGUCGUGGGUUCGAGUCCCACCGGGCCCG
rnacentral:tRNA from 1 species